rnacentral:rRNA from 1 species
UACGUAGGGUGCAAGCGUUAAUCGGAAUUACUGGGCGUAAAGCGUGCGCAGGCGGUUAUACAAGACAGAUGUGAAAUCCCCGGGCUCAACCUGGGAAUUGCAUUUGUGACUGUAUGGCUAGAGUGUGUCAGAGGGGGGUAGAAUUCCACGUGUAGCAGUGAAAUGCGUAGAUAUGUGGAGGAAUACCGAUGGCGAAGGCAGCCUCCUGGGCCAACACUGACGCUCAUGCACGAAAGCGUGGGGAGCAAACAGG